UGGAUAAUAUUAUAAGGGAAAUCCUGAGAGAAACGCCGAAUGCAGGAGGCAACUAUGUUCAAGGUGGUGUCCUAGCCAGAGGAUUAAGAGUUCAGAGAAGGAGAAUUAGAGAUCGAUUAAAUGCCCUGGACCCAGUUGGCAGAGCCCUUAGAAGACAGCAUACAAUUAGAAGGAGAAUAUAUAAUGUCAGAGGACCUAAUCAUUUAUGGCACAUUGAUUCAAAUCACAAGCUUAUUUCAUGGAGAUUUGUGUACCAUGGAUGCAUUGAUGGUUACAGUAGAAUGAUUAUAUACCUGACAUGCUGUACAAACAAUUGUGCAGCUACUGUUUUGCAUUUCUUUGAAGAGGGUGUAUCAAGGUAUGGGUUACCACUGAGAGUUAGAGGGGAUCGAGGUGGUGAAAACAUUGAUGUUGCUAGAUACAUGAUUAUGAGCCGUGGCAGAAACAGAGGAAGUUUUAUUGCAGGCAGAAGUGUUCACAACCAGAGAAUAGAGCGUCUUUGGGGUGAAGUGAACAGAGUGGUUUCUGAGUUUUAUAGGCAAUUGUUUAUGUACAUGGAAAACAUUGGAAUCUUAGAUUCUACAAAUGAAGUUGAUUUAUGUGCAUUACACUUUGUUUACAUUCCAAGAAUAGGAAAUUCUGUGCAAGAAUUCACUCGCCAGUGGAAUUACCAUCGACUUAGCACUGUUCAGUCAAUGUCUCCCUUAGCAUUAUGGCAUUCUGGAAUACUUUCAAAUCUUACUACAGUAAAUUCACAAGAUCUUCUGAGUGGCAUAGAUAAUUAUGGAAUUGACCAUGCAGGCCCAAUUACAGCAAAUGAGGCAGACACAUACAUUCAUGUUCCACAUAAUACAGUACAAAUGAGCGCUGAAAACCACAGGGAGCUUCUGUCGCUUUGUGAUCCAUUAUCAGAUGAUGACAAUAGUGGUAUUAAUCAUUAUUUAUUUGUUUUGGAUUAUGUGAUAAACAAUGUUAGAUAGUGUUGUAUACAAAUAAUUACGUUCCAACUCAAUUAAUUGCAAAAACUAUGUUGUUGUAUCACUCCCGAUGCUACAUAUGUGGGUGGAUACUCAUCCCCCUGUCCCUUUUAAGUUGGGUUAGUAGCCUGUCCAGGUCAAAAGCUUCAAUCCCCAUAGUUCCUAGCAAACCUCCUUUGUUUGUCCUCUUUCUUUCUUCUUCCUUUUUCCAAUAACAAUUCCUUUCUGUUAUCUUCAACUCCAUCUCUGCCACAUCUCUCUCCUCUACCUCUGAUCACUUACAACCAUCUGCUAAUGCUGUGCAUGCAAACCUUUCCUCUAGUCUUAUUCUUGAUUUUUCGCCAGCCUUCAACACCGUGGAUCAUUCUGUCCUCUCUACCACUCUGUCUAAUCCUGGUAUUUCUGGUACACCUUUAUCUUGGAUUCAAUCUUACCUCUGUUAACGUAUUACUGUGGUUUCUCUUUUCUCUUCUUGCCCCUCCCCCCCCUCCUUCACUGGAACAGGCUCCCCCUUAAUAUUAAGCAGUCUCCCAACCCAAUGACAUUCCGUUCCUCCCUCAAACCCACCUAUUUUCUGUGGCCUACCCUAAUUCACCUCCGAAUCCUUCCAUACCAUCUUUCCAAUUAGAUUUGUUGUUGUCUUUUUGUUUGUCUAUUGUCCUCUCCUGCCCUUCCCAGCAUUCAUUUAUUUACAUAUUUGUCAGUUUCCUUUGUUUAAUACAAUUUUCAUUUAUCCUAUACUGUACUGUUACACUUUGUAAAGCACUUUGAUAAAAGCGCUAUAUAAAUAUCAAUAAAUAAAUAAAUACAUAAUUGGCCCAC